UGUUUUAGUCUAGUUAGAGGAACCUGUUUUAUAAACGAUACAACACGCAUUAUUUUACUUAUUUUUGUAAAUCAGCUUGUAUACCGUCAUUAUAAGAUAAUUUAGGAGAAAAUAUUAUUGGGAUCAUAUAAUUGAGUAUAUUAGAUCAAGGUGCAGCUUAUAGAUAAGUAAAUAUGGGUUACAAUAAAAUUUAUUUAUUAUGAAUUAAGUAUUUAAAUAUAUUUAUGAAGGAGGAUUUAAUUGUAAGAGGGGGAGUAGUAAGAUUUUCUGAUAUAAGCUCUAAAUUAU
rnacentral:rRNA from 1 species